UUUGUGGUCCAGGAAGGCUGGUGAACUCCAUGAUGGACCUUCAUCAAGGUGCUUUGAUGCUCCUAGGCCCGACCAUGAACGCCAAGGUUGCCUUCGAACUCUCUGAAAGGAUCCCUCACUUGGGCCUACGAAUGAAGGAGCACAGUCGCAGAGCCAUGGAUUAUGCCGCUAGAAUGAAGAAAUUGGGAUUCAGGGUGAUCUACCCGGGCCUUGAGGAUCACCCUCAACACGAGCUGUUGAAGUCCAUGGCCAACAAGGAAUAUGGGUUUGGUGGUCUUCUUUGUGUUGACAUGGAAUCUGAAGAAAGAGCUAACGGGCUGAUGGACCACUUGCAAAACUACAGUCAAUUUGGGCUCAUAGCGGUUAGCUUAGGUUACUAUGAGACUCUGAUGUCAUGCUCUGGUAGUAGCACCAGUAGUGAAAUGAAUGAUGAAGAGAAGGCACUUGCCGGUAUUUUGCCAGGGCUGGUGAGGAUGUCCAUUGGAUAUAUUGGGACACUGGAGCAGAAGUGGAGCCAAUUAGAAAAGGCGCUAUCUAGGAUGCACGAUUCCACCUCAUUCAAUGAAAACUAAAGUUCUUUCAUCUCGUGUUCAAUAAUAAGUUUGCCGUAGUUUACGUAAAGAAGGUUUUAUUUUUGGUAUUUCAAUUGUUAAAGGCUGGACCUUUUGCGUAAUAUAAUGUUUUUUAGAAAAGGAAAAUAUAAACUUGAACUUCAACAAGUCUUCUCUAGAUGCAACAACUUAGAACAAAAGUGAAGAUAAAAUAUACCAUAAGUUGCGCUUUCUUUGCCGUUGAUUCUCUUUUCAAUUUGACUUUGCCCAUAUUCAACGUUGAGCUUUAUCAUCUUCCUAGAAUUUGUGUCCAAACGAAAGGUGGAGGAGAAGAAAAAGAAUCGCUGAGUCAGCUAUCCAGUGUCCAAACGUGAACCAAUGGUUUUUUCUUCUGUAAACAAUGUUCUUGCCGUCGGGCCCUGCAACUAUGGCAUGCUACAGCCCAAAGUUCACUAUUUUUAAGUGAAAGUCUGAAACACAAAACUCGUUCAGGCCAGUGUUUAGAAUCAACCAACUUUUGUUAAGAGUUAAAGGUAGCAGAAGUAAAGAUCAACUGAUCAAGCAAGUACUUAUCAUCAUCAAAAAAUCAUAUGAAGAGGGUCAGGACCAAGAAAACUGGGGUUCAAUAAAUUAUUUGCCAACCAAAUAUAUGGGCCAAAUAGAUGGGCUUCAUUUAACAAAAAUUUAUAUAUCAGAUUCCAUUGCCCUGACAGUUUUUUAUUGGGCUUACAACCCAAAGAAAUAAAGCUAAUCGAGGCUUUUCUUAGGACCAAUUCCUAUACCAGCAUUCAUCGAAGAGAAAAGGAUAUACGAAAAUAUGCUAAUGAUUAUAUUAAAAUGCUUUUUAAAAACUUAGCUUAGUCGAAUUCAACCGAUAUUAACAUGACAGAUUUAAAUAUAAUAAUGGAGGCUUGUCAAACGUGUUUAUUUUUUGGGAAAAAAAAUUCAAAAAUGGCAUAGAUACAUUAGUUAUAUUUUUUGAUUAAAUGGCAAUUUUAUUUAUCCAAGAAGUAAGAAAGAUAAACUUGCUACAAAAAAAUUCAUCAAGUAUAAUGGGUACCAGCUAUUAUAUAUGUACAGAUAAAGAAUUACAAAGUUCAUAGUGUAUAAAAAGUUUCCGAAUUAUAAUUAAAAAUUAUUUAAUUUUUAUUUAAUUUUUAUUGUAAUUAAUCAACUCCUUCAAUAUUUAUUUGCAUCUAAUUAAAUUUUUAUUUAGUUGAAAAAGUUGACAUCGUUAGUUAUUUUUGUGAAAUAAGAUAAACUUUUAUUUGACAUCAAUAAAAUUGAUAAGAAUAUGUCACAUGAGACAUUUACAUUAAGAAUAUUAGGAUCACUUACAUUAGUGUAAGUUUUGCAUUUGUUUAACUUUUAGAUCAAAAUUAAAUCCAUGUCUAUUUUGAAUUCUUUUGUCUUAACUAUUUAGAUCAAUGAUAAAAAAAAAAUAAAAUUAAGUGGAUCUCUUUUUAUAUAUAAAAUUUUUCGUAUUCAAAAUUAUACUAUUAUAUAUGACUAUUUAAUGUUAAUAGAUCAAAGCGUUGAGAUUAAACUGUUUUUUCUCAUUUUUACUUAUUUAUCUUAUUCAUUGGAUCUAUUAAAAUUAAGAAAUAGAAAAUUUUGUAAAAUUAAAAAAAAUUUAACACUAUAUAAGUUAUACCUCCCUAUAUAUAUAUAUAUACAUUUACACUUGCAUCAUUUAUCUUCUUUAUUUAUUUAUUUUUGAAUGAAUUUAUUUUCUUUAUUUGUUUGUUUAUUUCCUAAAUUUAAAUCAUGAAAUUAAUUAUAUAUUGAAGCUAAUUACAAUAUUAUUUGUUUGACAGAAAUUUAAGUUGCGUCAUGCAUGCAUGAUUCAUGCAUGUGCCCAGCGUAUGAACAAAAAAGAAAUGAUUUCUGGUCUCAACAUACUCCAUCAUAAUUACAAUAUUAGUAGUAUUUCUUUAUGGCUUUGACGAAAAUGACAAACUCUUCUUUCCUUCCUUUAAGCCCUCGAAGGGAUAAAUGAACGUAUGGAGGUACAAAGCUGGAACUAAGAAGAGUUUCUCUUGCAUUUAUGAUCCAGGAUCGAUCUAAGACACUCAACCUUAAAAAAAAAAAAGAGGCGGUGGCCUGCUGGUUGAUCAGAUAAGAACACCCACUCACCGUUGUUGUCAACAAAUAACAAGUGUCCAUGGUUCUCAUUCGUCAGGAUUUUGAUGAAGGAAUUCAUAGCCCCACUUGGAUUGUGAUGUGCUUACAAUUUGCUCGGAAGGGGAUAUGAUUUUUCUUCUUUUUCAAUUUCUCACUCUUUUCAUUUUUUAACAAGGUUUUAUCAAUGAAAACGUGGCAUAUUGCAGUUGCAGAUCAUGUCCGAAUAAGUCAAGAUCCAAACCAGAAAAGAAAAGAAAAGAAAAGAAAGGGAAUUAAAAUCGUACUGGCAUUACAUAAGUUGGAAUGAAAGGAUAUUCCGUAGGGAAUUGAAAAUUCUCAAAAUAUAUUAGUUGUUAAAAUUAAUUUCAUUCAAAUUUUGGUUAAAAACAAAAGUCAAAAUAGAGACCACACAAAAACGACAAAACAACCUUGCAAUUAACAAACGACACUGUUAUGAAAAUUAAUCCUUUAAAUGUAUGGUUCUUUCCCCUGCUCGGCUUGGUGCUGAUGUGGUUGUCCAUAGUAUCUCCAAGUUUAUCAGCGGUGGGAGCGAUGUUAUUGCAGGUUGGUUUGUAGUAUGUGUCUCAUUUACGGUACACGCGUCAGACAUUAAUCUCAUUUUUUUACGCUGGAAAAACAGCCAUCGAUGACAUGUGUUUUCAGAGUUUUGGUGAAAACUGCCCACUUCCAAAGAAAAACCGAAAAUACUAUGAAUUGAGGAUUCAGAAUCAUAAAAUAAAAUGGGUAAGGAAUAUAGUCAUGCACGUUCCAAAAGUUCGGAUUCAUUAAAGGCAAACGAUCGAAUAUGAUUCUGGUAUGAAUAUAAAAACUCUAAAUAAUGGAUAGGAAAAUUGUUUUAGGGCUAGUGGGGGUGGGGGAGGGGAACUUUUCUCGUGAAUGAUGAUGCUAUUACGUACCGGUAACUUGCAAAGCAGGCAAAUAUUAUUCAAACACAAAUUCUCCUGUUUCUACUUUAAUAAAUAGAUUAAGCCAAUGUAUUAUAUAUAAAAUUAUGAUAAGAUAAAAUAAUAUUAUAAAUAAAAUAAAAUAAAAUAAUUUUAUUUUAUAUUUGAUAUGUGUAAAAAUUAUAAUAAAAUAAUUUAUUUAUUGAUCAAAUUAUUUUUUAAAAAAUUUUAUAUAGUUUAAAUUAUUAAUAUAAUUUUUAAAAAUAUAAUAAAAUAUAUAAAUUCAAUCUUAUAAAUUAAAAAUAAUUUUUUUACUUUAAAAAAAUUAAUUAUCUUACAUUAAAAAGACGAUGAUUUUUUUUAUAAUCAAAUUAUAGUUUUAAAUAUAAAUUAAAUAUAAUAAAAUAAUUAUCAUUUUAUUUUAUAUAUUAUUCUGUACAGCAAAUAUGACCUUGAUUCGUUUUCUAACUAUCUUUUUUAUGGCUGAUAAGGAUAUUCUCCUGCAGCUGCAACUUCACUAAUUUUUCAAAUUUUCACCGAUAAGGAUUCCAUCAUUGUCAGAGAAUCCUGGUAGUGUAGGCAAUAUUUUGUUAAUUCAAUAAAAUGGGAAUUUUCAGGUGCUGUUUAUGGUCCUGCAAGCCUGGUGAACUCCAUGAUGGACCUUCAUCAAGGUGCUCUGAUGCUCCUAGGCCAGACCAUGAACUCCAUGGUUGCCUUUGAGCCCUCUGAAAAGGAUCCCUCACUUGGGCCUUAAAUGAAGGAGCACAGUGGCAGAACCAUGGAUUAUGCCACUAGAAUGAAGAAACUGGGCCUCAGGGUGAUCUACCUGGGCCUUGAGGAUCAACCUCAAGACGAGCUAUUGAAGUCCAUGGCCAACAAGGAAUAUGGGUUUGGUGAUCUCCUUUGACAUGGAAUCUGAAGAAAGGGCUAACAGGCCGAUGCACCACUUUCAGAACUACAGUCAAUUUGGGUUCACAGCGAUUAGCUCGGGUUACUAUGAGACUCUGAUGUCUUGCUCUUGUAGUAGUACCAGCAAGGAAUUGACUGAUGAAGAGAAGGCACUUACCGGUAUUUCGCCAGGGCUGGUGAGGAUGCCCAUUGGAUACAUUGGGACACUGCAGAAGAAGUGGAGUCCAUUAGAAAAGGCGCUCUCUAUUAUGCACGAUUCCACCUUAUUCAAUAAAAACUAAAGUUCUUUCAUCUCGUGUUCAAUAAUGGGUUGGUCGUAGUUCAUGUAAUGAAGGUUUCAUUUGUUCUAUUUCAGUUGUUAAUGUAAGUCAUAGAGAUAAUAUAGAUGGUUAAAAAAAAAAAAAAGAAAAGAACUAUAUAUAUGUAGAAGUGUGGAUCGAAUAAAUUUGGAAUUAAUUCUGUAAAUGUUCAUGUAGACAUUAAUGCAAAUUUGAAAAAACAUAUAUGAUUUGUGUUGUCAUAUUUUUUAUUUUUUAUAAAAAGGAGAUUACAAUAUGAUGAUAAAAAAUCAUGAAAAAUAAGCUAUAACGACUUACUGGAUGCCAUUUAAAUUGUCUAUACAUGCAAAAUAUCACAAAAAAUAAGUUAUCAUGUAUAUUUUGUUUCUCUCUUUUUGUUUCUUUUGUAUACUUUAUUUAUCAUCAUCACUGUCCGGAUAUACAUUAGCAUGUGGAAUUAGAGGGAAAAUUAUACUAUCAUAUCUUUUCUGACUAUGCAAAACUUAUAUAUACAUAUAUAUAUAUAUAUAUAUCUGUUGCACUUGCAUCCUUAUCUUAUUUAUUUGUUUGUUUAUUUCCUUUGUAUCUAUACAUAUUUAAACCAUAAAAUUAUAUAUUGAAGCUAAUUACAAUAUUAUUUUUUUAACAGAAAUUCAGCAUGAUUCAUUCAUGUGCCCAACGUAUAAACAAAGAACGAAAUGAUUCUUGCUCUCAACAUACUCCAUCAUGAUUACAAUAUUAGUAGUAUUUCUUUUUGGCUUUGAUGAAAAUGACAAAGUCCUCCUUGAAUUUGUUAGAAAAAUAAGGUCCAGCCUCAUGUAAGUGGUUUUAGACCAAGUAAAGGUUAUGAGCCUUGAUCUUUCAUUUUACACAGACAUAUAGUUACUUAAUAAAAAAGAGGUGGGGUUAUUUUAAGUGGGUGUCGAAAACCAAGUAAAGAAAAAAGAAAAGUAAAAAAAAAUAGAGAAAAAAGAAAGAAAGAAGAGUUGGUUGAACAGAAGUCGAUCUGUGGUCCGAUUGAGUUGGAACCUUGUCAGGAGGUUUAUGAUUCAGAGUUCUACAUUCUGAACGGUGAAGAUCGAGUAUAAAGCUCUCUAGGAACAAAUCCAUGGUGUAUUUAUUGAGUAACUUAUUUGGUUAGAUUUCUCAAAUUGUUUCUCUAGUUGUUGAUUAGCUCUAGUUUUAGCUAGAGAAGAACUUUGUAUACCUAUUAUUUGAUAGUGAAGAUUUUUCUGGUGGUUCGUGAUUUUUUUCUCUACAUUGGAGGGUUUUUUACGUAAAUCUUGGUGUACUUUAUUUUUUUUUGCGUUUUUUGAUUACUGAUUGUUGUCUAUUAUUUCUGUAUUAUUAUGAUUAUUACUUCAGGUGCAACAAGUGAUAUCAGAAUGAGGGUUAUUUUGAAACAUCGAUACAUAAGCAACCUCGGAUAAAAGUAAAUUAUGUUUGAGAUCAUGAAGGGUGAUACAGGUUUCUUGAUAAAAUUAACAACAUCGAAUUAUUCAAUUUGAAAGUCUAUGAUGGAGGAUCAUCUAUACUGUAAAGAUUUGUAUGAGCCAGUAUUGGGUGAUUCAACUAAACCAACAGAAUAAAAGAUGAAAGCUGAAAGAAGCUAGGUAAAAAGAUGCUAGCUACAAUCAAAAAAUAGGUUGAUAUAAGUGUGUUCCAUCAUGUAACGCAGGAGUCAGAUGCUCACAUUGUUUGAAAAAAAUUGACAGCAUUGCAUGAGAGAAAAAUAGGUAUGAAUAAAGUUAUGCUUGUUAAAAAGCUUACAAUUUUACAGUACAGGGAUGAACGAUCUGUUACAAAGCACUUGAGUGAUUUUCAAGAUAUAUUUAAUCGGAUGACUACUAUGGUACUUAAGAUGGAUGAUGAAAUGAAGACGUUAUUUCUUUUGGGUUCAUUGUCAAACAGUUGAAAUACUCUAGUUGUGACUGUUCUUAAUUCAGCUCCUGAUUAUAAGGUGACAUUGGAAAUGGUAAAGGACAAUAUGCUUAAUGAAGAAGCAAGAUGAAAAGAUGUAGACCCUGAAAAUCAAGCUCUGGUCACAGAAAACAGGGAUAGAAAUAUCGACAGAGGUCAUGACUCAAAAAGUCAUAGUAAGUCUAAACAUAGAUCCCAGUCUAGAGGUAAAGUGAAGUGUUGCUAUUGUGGUAAGGCAUGUUAUAUAAAAUGAAACUGUAAAAUCUUGAAGCAAGAGCGAAAAGAUAAGAAAGGUAAGAGUUCAGAUGAUGGUAACGUUAUAGCAGUGAAUUCAGAUAGUGAUUCAGUUACUUUGAUUUGUACACAUGAUGAUUGUAAUCAUAUUAGUGAUCCCGACAUUAAGUGGAUAGUUGACACAGGAAUAACAUAUCAUUGUAUUUCUAAGAGAGAGUUAUUUACAACUUACAAAGCAAGAGACUUUAGUUGUACUAAAAUAAAAAACAUGAGUGUGUCGUAGAUUGUUAAGAUUGAUGAUAUUGUUGUACAAACUAGUACAGGCUACAUGUUAACUUUGAGGGAUAUCAGACACAUUUCAGAUAUGAGAAUGAACUUGCUUGCUAUUAAUAUCUUUGAUAAGGAGGGAUAUGAAAGUCGACAAAAGAAUAGACAAUGAAAGCUUUUCAAAAGAUCUAUAGUAGUUGCAAGAGAAAAAUUAUGCUGCACAAUAUAUAAGACAUGGAUGUAAUUGAACGGUAACCAGGUAAAUGCCAUUAAAAAUGAUGCUUCAACAAACUUAUGGCACAGGAGGCUAGCACACAUGAGUGAAAAAAGUUUACAGGUUUUGGCAAAGCCAUCUCUUAUUUCCUUGACCAAAAGUAUGUCUCUCGAUUCAUGUAAUUAUUGUUUGUUUGGUAAGCAUCAUAGAGUUUUUUUUCGUAAAAGUUCUCAGAGAAAAAAAAGAUUGAAAUUAAUUUAUUCUGACAUAUGUGGUCCCAUUGAGGUUAAGUCAUUAGGUGGUAGCAGAUAUUUUAUUACUUUUGUUGAUGAUGCUUCACGUAAGACUUGGGUGUAUAUGUUGAAAUACAAAAGUCAGGUACUACAGUAUUUUUAAAAAUUUUAUAUCAUGGUUGAAAAGAUGACAAAGUUAUCCUUGAAGUGUAUUCGAACUGAUAAUAGUAGGGAAUACACAUCUAAAUGCUUUGAAGAGUAUUGUUCAAAGUAUAAGAUCAGGCAUAAGAUGAUAGAACCUGGAACACCGUAGCAUAAUGGUAUAACUGAAAGAAUGAAUCGUACCAUUAUGAAAAAAGUCAAAUGUAUGUUGAGGAUGAAAAAAUUACCAAAGCCAUUCUGGGGUAAAACAGUUAACACGACUUGUUAUUUACUUAACAGAUCACCAUCAGUUCUUUUGAGCUUUGACAUUUCAGAAAGAGUGUAGACAAGAAAAGAUACUUUAUACUCUCACUUGAAAGUUUUUGGGUGUAAAGCAUUCAUGCAUGUGUCGAAAGAGCAGAGAUCAAAGCUUGACAGUAAAGCCACACAGUGUGUGUUUGUAGGAUAUGAUGAAAAAUUUGAUUACAGGGUAUAAAAUCCAGUAAAGAAAAAGACAAUCAAAAGUAAAGAUGUAAUCUUUCAUGAAAAAAAAAUCAUAGCAGACCUUGAAAAAAAUGAGAAGACUACACGAGUUACUGUUGAGUAUGAUAUUUUAACACCGACAGAGAUUCCACAGAAAGAGCCACAAAUGGUGAAAAUGAGCAAGAAACAGAACUUGGAAAUAUGAAUAAGCUAGCCACAGUUGGUGAUGAGCCAGAUGUAAUUAGUUUUGAACAAGAUGAGCAAUCCUCUCUACCUGAGAGUGUUGAACAUGAGGAGUUACCUUUGGCAUCAAGUGAUAUAGAAUCUCAGCUUAGGAGAUCUACUAAAGAGUACAAGCCAUCUAUCAGGUAUCUAAGUUCAGAUUUUAUUUUAGUUACCAGUAAAUGAGAGCCAGAAAGCUUUCAAGAUGUACAGGCUAUUUCGGAUAGAGAGUACUGGUUAAAAGUAAUAAAAAAAUAGAUGAAAUCAUUGCAAAAGAAUGAUACUUACGAUCUUAUUAAACUUCUAACAGGGAAGAGGCCAUUAAAGAAUAAAUGAGUAUUCAAGUUGAAAAAAGAUGGUGAUAAACUAGUGAGGUACAAAGCUCGAUUGGUAGUAAAAUGGUUUUCUCAGAAAUCGGGCAUCGAUUUUAAUGAGAUUUUUACUCCAGUUGUAAAGAUGAGUUCUAUUCGAGUGGUACUGGGAUUAAUAGCUAGUUUAAAUCUUGAGCUUGAGCAACUUAAUAUUAAAACUAUAUUUUUGCAUGGUGAUUUACAUGUGGACAUUUAUAUUAAUCAGCUUGAGGGUUUUAAAGUGAAAGGGAAAGAGCACUUAGUUUACAAAUUGAAAAAAAAACUUGUAUGGCUUGAAACAAGCUCCGCGAUAGUGGUACAAGAAGUUUGAUUCUUUUAUGGUGAGUCAUAGCUAUAAAAAAUAACAGCUGAUUCUUGUGUGUAUGUUAAACAAUUUUCUAAUGGUAACUUCAUUAUCCUAUUAUUAUAUGUUGAUGAUAUGUUAAUUGUAGGAUAAGAUGCUAGUAUGGUUUACAGGUUGAAAGAACAAUUGUCUAAGUCUUUUGAUAUGAAAGAUUUAGGUUCAGUAAAACAGAUUCUUGGUAUGAACAUUAUCCGAGAUAAAAGAGCUAAAAAGCUAUGGUUGUCAUAGGAAAAGUAUGUUGAACGAGUGCUUGGUAGAUUUAACAUGCAACAUGCUAAAUCAGUUAGCAGUCCAAUUACCAAUCAUUUUUAUCUAAGUAAGAAAUCUUGUCCAGUGUCUAAGGAAGAGUAACUAGCUAUGUCUAGUAUUCCUUAUUCUUCUGCGGUUGGUUCUUUAAUGUAUCUUAUGGUUUGUACAAGGCCUGAAAUUACUCAUGUAAUUAGUGUAGUGAGCAUAUUUCUUUCUAAUUCGAAAAAAAGUUCAUUGAAAAGUAGUGAAAUUGAUUUUUAGAUAUUUGAGAGGUACCUUAAAAAUGUGCUUGACUUAUAAAGUUUCACAACCAGUUUUAGAAGGGUUUACGAAUGCUGAUAUGGCAGACGAUCUUGAUGGUAGAAAAUCUACUUCAGGGUAUUUGUUCACUUUUACAGGAAGAAUUGUAUCUUGGCAAUCUAAGUUACAGAAGUGUGUUGCUUUAUCAAUUACAGAGAUUGAGUAUAUUACAGUAAUUAAAGCAUGUAAAAAAAUGCUUUGGAUGAAACGUUUUCUUUUUGAAUUGAGGUUGAAUCAGAAAGAGUAUGUGAUAUUUUGUGAUAACCAGAGUACUUUAGAUUUGAGUAAGAAUACCAUGUACCAUGCUAGAACAAAGCACAUUGAUGUUAGAUAUCAUUGGUUAUGUUCAGUGAUUGAAGAACAACGAUGCUAUUGAAGAAAGUUCAUACUGAUAAGAAUAUAGUAGAUAUGUUGACUAAGAUACUUCCAAGAAAAAAGCUUGAGCUUUGCAGUAACUUGGCCGGAAUGAGUUCCCUGGCCAAGGUAAGUUCCAAAUGAAACUGCUAUGGUGAUGAAUCUCCUUUUAAUGGGGCUGGAUGGGGAGAUUGUUAUGAAAAUGGGGUCCAACCUCAUGUAAGUGAUUUUGGACCAAGUAAAGGCCAUAGGCCUUGAUCUUUCAUUUUACAUAGAGUCCUAGCUACUUAAUAAAAAAGAGGUGGGGUUGUUUUAAGUGGGUGGCAAAAACCAAGUAGAGAAAGAAGAAAAGCCAAAAAAAAUAGAGAGAAAAAAGAGAAUGGAGAGUUGGUUGAACGAAAAUCGAUCCGUGGUCCGAUUGAGUUGGAACAUUGUCAAGAGAUUUAUGAUUAAGAGUUCUACAUUCUGAACAGUGAAGAUCGGGUUUGAAGCUCUCUAGGAACAAAUUCAUGAUAUAUUUGUUGAGUCACUUAUUUGGUAAAAUUUCUCAAAUUAUUUCUCUAGUUGUUGAUUAGCUCUAGUUUUAGCUAGAGAAGAACUUUGUAUAUUUAUUAUUUGAUAGUGAAGAUUUUUUUGGUGGUCCGUGAUUUUUUUCCUCUACACUAGAGGGUUUUUUACGUAAAUCUUGGUGUGCUUUAUUUUUUCUAUAUUUUUUUAUUAUUGAUUAUUAUUUAUUGCUUUUGUAUUGUUGUGAUUAUUGCUUCAGGCGUAACGAAAUUUGUCAAAACCCGACUUUCUUCUUUGUCAAAUCUAGACAUCUUGUCUUUGGUCCAAAUAAAAGGAUUACCCUGCUUUCAAAUACCUAACCUUUCAUAUCUCCACUUUCCGAUUACUAAUAAUAUGGGAUAUAGUAAUACAGUUUAUAAGUUAAUAGUAAUAAUUAAGCGGUGUUUUUCUCUUCAUAUCUCCUCUUUCCUUCGAAGGGAUAUUUGAAAGUAUGGAGGUACAUAACUGGAAAUAAGAAGAGUUCAUCUUGUAUGUAUGAUCCAGAAUCGAUGAAGACACUCAACCUUAAAAAAAAAAAAAAUGAGGUGCUGGCCUGCUGGUGAUCAGAUAAGAACAUUUUGCACGUUGUUAUCAGCAAAUAGAACGUGCCCAUGGUUGUCACUUGUCAGAAUCUUGAUGAAGUGGCAGAUAAACUUCCACUUGGAACGUGAUGCGUUUACAAAUUUUCUCGGAAGGGGAUAUCUUUUUUUUUUCUUUUCAAUUUCUAACUAACAGGGUUUUAUCAAUGAAAAUGUGGCAUAUUGUAGUUGCAGAUCAUGUCUCAUUAAGACAAUUUCAAAGCCAGAUAAGUAAAGAAAGGAAAAUCAUACUGGAAUUAUACAAGUCGUAAUGACAGAAUAUUACUUGUUAGAAUUAAUUUCAAUCAAAUUUUGGUUAUAAUCAAAAGUCAAAAUAGAGAUAUGACUUCACAAAAACGAUCUAACAAUUUGAUACGACACUGCUACGUGUUUGCGUUUGUAACAUCCUUUAAAAUGUCGUCUCUGUUAGUUUAUUGCAACGUCAAUAACUUAAAUUUGGUUUGACGAUUACCUACUUCUCUCGCCUUUCUCCAAUCUAAUAGAUAAAUAGUAGAAGUGCCGACUCCUUUUGAACUGUUGAUGUUGGCAUAUGGUUUUAUAGUUUUCUCCUUUACGCUUUCCACUCCAUGCACUAAUUAUGACCAAAUAGUCAAAAACAUACCUAUAGAUAUCUAUCUGCAUGUUUUGGAAGACUAAAGAAUAUUUAUUUGUCUUAAAAAAAAUUUACUAGCUGUUGUGUGUGAAAAGAGAGUUGCGAAGGCGUCGGUAAUAAUUUUAGGGUUGGGAUGGGUAAAUUAUAGGUUUAGAUAAUUUUUUAUUUUUGAGAAUCUAAUUACGAAAAGUUAUGAUUUGAUCAUUAAAAUUUAUGAAAAAUUUUUUUAUCAUUCAAUUAUUAGAAAUUAAUUAACGAAAUGUUGACAUAAUAUUAUGGUAUCAUUUGUCAAAAUGUCGUAUAAUAUUGCUUUGACAUUCGAUAUAUCAUAUGACACUAUUUGCGUAGCAUAAUAAGUUUUGAAAAUUAAACAAGAUAAAUUACAUUUUUAAUCUCUUAACUUUUUGAAAGUUUUUAUUGUUUUAAUCCAACUUUGAAAACUUUACAAUUUGAUUAUUAAUGUUUUUGAAAUUAUUCAUAUUUUUAAUAUUUUGUUACAUGAAAGUAAUGCUACAAAUUUUUAUUUUUAUUAGGAUGUUGUCGUUAUAAAAUAUUUAAUAUUUAAUAUUUAAUAUUUCAUUUAAGUUUUCUUGAUUGGUUAAUGUAAUAUAUUAAAAUACUUAAAUUUAUUUGAGUGAGCUGGAUGACAAAUACUUUUAAGUAAUGCUAAUCAAGUAAAUUUAGCAAUUGGCUUUAAUCAUAUUCUUUUUAAAUUUAAAGGGUAUAAUAAUUUUAAUUUUAUGCACUAAAAAUAUUGAUUGCUCAUUUUUUUAAUAAAGUUCAAAACUUUAUUUGAAUAUUAUCUUAGUAUCUUUCAAUAUAGAUAACAAAAAUAACAUAACAAUUUAUUAUUUUAAUAAAAAAUUGUUGAUUAAAUUGUUAUAAAGUCAUGUGACAAUGAGACAUUGAAAAAUUUUUCAGGAGCAUGUCAACUACAAUUGGGUGACCAAAAAUAAAUUCAUAAAGCUAAUAACUAAAUUUUAACUUUUCAUAAUUAAUGAUCAAAAUAAAAAAUCGUCUAAAGGUGAAUGAUUAAAAGUGUAAUAUAUUAUCGUUAAAAAAUACGUGUUAACCCUUCAAAAAAAUUGUUAAUUGGCAUAUACAUGAUAUUGUAAUAUUGUAAUUAAUAUGAAUUAAUUAAAUAUUUAUUUAUUCAAAAAAAUCACCUACAAAGUCUUUAUAAGCAAACAUCUAAAUAAUUAAUAAUGUCAUAUUUUAAUUUGAAUAUCUCGAUUUCAAAUCAUAUAAAUAAAGAAUUUGUAGAAUGCGAAAAAAAAUACCUUUUUUUUUUAUAAAUUAUUAUAUGUUAAAAUUAAAAUAUUGAACAAAUAACUGAGUAAUUGAAAAACAUGGUAAAAUUUUCAAAAUUUUCAACCCAUUUAUCGGAAAAAAAAAAGUUGUAACCCUUAUUUUUGGUAACCCCUACGAGGUUAUAACUUUAGGUAAAUGUAUAUAGGAAAUUUCCGAAAUCCCUAAUAAAAAACAGAUUAGAUUCACUGGAUUUUAUUUUAAGAAAAAGUUUAGGUAAUGUCACAUAAGAUAAUAUUUUACUUUUUUUAUAAUUAAAAUUAUCAAAAUUUAAAUUUGAUUAUUGAUCGCAGCACUAACUAUUUUGUCUAUCUCUUCCCCAGACGGCUCUUUAAUUCCUUCUCCUUAAUAAUUUUAUUUCAUCUUUCAAUUUUGCCAUUAACAUUUACGUCCCCACCAACAAAACCCAAACAACAAAAAAAGGAGCGAAAGAUUUCUUGGAGGUUGGUUCAAUCUUGAUUCCCGUUCCCUCUAGAAUUAAUUAUGGAAGAAACAGAGAACCCUGGCUUUGUUUUUACCGGAAAGAAGAGAGCUGCAGGGGCUGAUGGAUUUGACGGGGAUGAUCUUUUCGUGGCCAAGACAUCAACCCUAGCACCAGCAUGGGAAAAUGACCCUGCCGCUGCAUUAGCCAGCGCGCGCCAUGAAUUCGGUGAGCAUGGUGGCGUUAACAUGUCUAUUGAGGCCUCCGCCACAUUCACCGUCAUGGAACCUGAGACCAUGCGCCGCAUGUUUGCUGGUGAACUCGGCCCUGAUCGUGAUUUCUUCAUUUAUAGCCGUCACUUCAAUCCCACUGUCUUAAAUCUCGGUCGUCAGAUGGCAGCCAUGGAAGGAACCGAAGCUGCCUAUUGCACUGCCAGCGGUAAUUAAUUUUUCUGUUUCACUUUCACUUUUUAUUUCACACGUAAAAAUCUAAAAAACAUUAUUAUCAAAACCUUCAAUUUGAUGGUUAAUAAUUUGAUUUCGUGAUUACAGGUAUGUCUGCUAUUUCAUCCGUGCUGUUGCAGCUCUGCAGCAGCGGUGGACACGUGGUGGCAUCGAGGACUCUCUACGGCGGGACCUAUGCACUCCUAACCCAUUUCUUGCCCAGAGCCUGUAACAUCACGACCACGUUCGUGGACAUAUGCGAUCACGAAGCGGUGAAAAAUGCCAUCGUCGAAGGACGGACCAAAGUUUUGUACUUCGAGUCCAUGUCGAACCCUACACUCGCUGUAGCCAACAUUCCGGAGCUAAGCAGGCUAGCACACGACAAAGGAACCAUGGUGGUUGUAGACAACACCUUCGCUCCCAUGGUUCUUUCCCCUGCUCGGCUUGGUGCUGAUGUGGUUCUCCAUAGUAUCUCCAAGUUCAUCAGUGGUGGGGCCGAUGUUAUUGCAGGUUUGUUUGUCUCUUUUUUGUCAUUUACCGUACACGAGUCACACAUUAUUAGGUUGGAAAAAGAGCCAUCAAUUACGUGUAAUCUUCUGAUUAAUCAAGUUAAAUGGUUGAAUCUAGGAAUUGACUUCAGAGUUUCGAUGAAAAUUGGCUUUUUCCAAAAAAAAAGAAAAGAAGAAAAAAAAAUACUACCAUGAAUUGAGGAUUCUUAAUCAUAAAAUAAAAUGGGAAAUGAAUAUAGUCUACCAUAGUCCAAAAGUUUCGUUUUCUAGCUAUCUUUUUUAUGGUUGAUAAGGCUAUUCUCCUGCAAUUUCUCUAAUUUUUCAGUUUUUCACCGAUAAGAUCAUUAUCUUGAGGUGUGCGUUUCGAUCCUCCGUUUCCUCUUAUGGAUAAGCGUUCAUGUGAAGUGUUUUGUAUUUUUUAUUUUUCUGAUAAAUUCUGUAUACCAACUUAAAGUUUCAGGGCCUUAAAUUUGACAUUUCUAGUUGAAAAGUUAUAUAUCCCUUCUACAAAAGUUUUUAAUAAUCUUUUGCCCUAAUGUUGUUACCUUGCUAACUUCUAGGCAAAGCUAGAUUGCCAAAAACAUUAGUUCUUGUGAAAUAUAAAUGCUUUUUUAGUCAGUUUAUUGAUAUUGGAAUAUAGUAACUAUUAUUGACCGAGAAUCCUGGAAGUGUAGAUAUGCAUUUUGUUAAUCCAAUAAAAUGAGAAAUUUCAGGUGCUGUUUGUGGUCCUGCAAGCCUGAUGAACUCCAUGAUGGACCUUCAUCAAGGUGCUUUGAUGCUCCUAGGCCCGACCAUGAACGCCAAGGUUGCCUUUGAACUCUCUGAAAGGAUACCUCACUUGGGCCUAAGAAUGAAGGAGCACUGCCACAGAGCCAUGGAUUAUGCGACUAGAAUGAAGAAAUUGGGACUCAGGGUCAUCUACCCGGGCCUUGAGGAUCACCCUCAACACGAGCUAUUGAAGUCCAUGGCCAACAAGGAAUAUGGGUUUGGUGGUCUUCUUUGUGUUGACAUGGAAUCUGAAGAAAGAGCUAACAGGCUGAUGCACCACUUGCAGAACUACAGUCAUUUUGGGUUCAUGGCUGUUAGCUUGGGUUACUACGAGACUCUGUUGUCUUGCUCUGGUAGUAGUACGAGCAGUGAAAUGAAUGCUGAAGAGAAGGCCCUUGCCGGUAUUUCGCCAGGGCUGGUGAGGAUGUCCAUUGGAUACAUUGGGACACUGGAGCAGAAGUGGAGGCAAUUAGAAGAGGCGCUCUCUAGGAUGUAGGAUUCCACCUCAUUCAAUAAAAACUUAAGUUCU
rnacentral:lncRNA from 1 species